GUAGUAUUCCCUUCGUCCCAAAAUUCUUGUCUUACAUUUGUUUAGAUACAGAUGUAUCUAACACUAAAAUGUAACUAGAUACAUCCAUAUUUAGAAAAAUUUAAGAAAAAAAUUUUGGGAUGGAGGGAGUACAAA
rfam:Triticum aestivum genome assembly, contig: Triticum_aestivum_CS42_TGACv1_scaffold_308639_4AS